AUUCCCGAGGGCUUUUUCUACUCGAUGUCCUUUUUAAUGCCUGCUUCUCAUAGCAUCUUUUUGCUGCUGGUAUUUUCCCUGCUCAUUCAGAUUCCAGCACUCUUACCUUCUGCAAGAAGUGCCUCAGCAAGCCUGUGGGUGUGGGUGGUGGUUCCAUCGGCCCCAAAUUACACCCCUUUUCUGUAUUUCACAAGCCCUGAAUGCCCCUUGCACCCCCAGCCCCCACGGAGAUGCGGAGCCUCUAGCUCCAUUCUGCAUUCACUAGAUCCACUCUUCCUCCCCCUGUAUAGGUGUGAAUUACAGUCACUCUGCUCAAAAUGUUUGCAGCAAAGGCCAUCUUCGAGGUCAGGAAAUCCUAUUAUCAGAUUUACUCUUCAGAGCAGAGGUGUCCAUAGUAGUGAAGUUGAGCCAUUCCCUGGAGCAUCUGUGGGGUCUUCAUGUUUGGGAAAUCUUGGGAUUCUUGAGAAGUGGUGACUCAACACAUGGAGUUCUUAGCCUGCUCAGAGGAAGGAGCAUCAACAGACAACUUCUGCUCAGGAAUCGACAGGAGAAUAGAGUUUAUGUUUUCUCAUGACCAUAUCCUCCAAGCAAUACUUUGAAAUUAUGCCGCCAUUUCUAGCUUUGCUUUGACUGGUCUUUCAAGAGUCAGCCUCAAACCCAGAACACACUCACACAAAUCCAGCUGAAGAUGAUUCUCGAGUGGCCAGAGUCCAGCAGGGCCUCAAUUCCUGCAGAAAUUGGGCCAAAGCUUUGGAGUCAGCACCCACCAGCCAGGCACCAACAGCCCCCAGGCAUGGGGAGCAGAGGAGAGUCACUGAAAGGCAAUGCGUUAAAAGAGGGGCUUGUUCUGCUCUCUCUUUGCCCCAUUUCUGUUCUGGGCAACCCAGCUAACCUGGCCCCUCUAAAUCUGUGCCCCUCUAAAUCUGAGCUUGGGACCAUCCAGAGCCUGUUUCUGCCCUUGUUCGUCCACCUGCCAGCCCUCCCCUGCUCCCCUCAUCACAGUUCUAGCCCACUGGAACCAUUUCUGGGUUUUGGCUGGAUUUAUCUUUCAAAGCUUUCAAGGAGAGUGAGAGGAAAACUGUCUUUGCAACUCUGGACACAUUGAAGGAGCUCAGGAAAUAUGAGCUGAAUUGGGUGAAGAAUGAAAGGAAGGAAGGAAAGAAGAGAGGGAGGGCGGAUUCUGCCCUCUGGAGUGCCCUGACGCCUUACAGACUCCAGAGGCAGAAAGGCUGAACACUCUUCAGGCAGGUGUCUGGCUGUGGAGGGCAGGUGGGAGGCGCAGAGCAGAAGGGAGGAGCUGGCCAACGCUCCAGUGAAAACAGGCCAGAGGCUGGGAGCUCACAGCUUCUACUGCCAGCCC
rnacentral:lncRNA from 1 species